rnacentral:lncRNA from 1 species
AUGACUUUACAGACUCUGCUGACCUAUGGGCUCGGAAUUACGUUGGCAUCGGUGGCGUUGUUCAACUCACAAGUGCAUGGACUGCAAUGCUAUGGCUGCAACAUCAUCCAUGGGCAGCGGUACGUGGACGUGGGCUGCUCCAACCCGGAGGUCAUCACCUGCACACACUCCCACAAGGGCUUCAAGCACCGCUUCUGCAUCAAGACAGAGAGCACUGCGCUUGGCAUCGUCCUGACAAGCGGCUGUGCUACAUCCCGACACUGUCAGCAACAAGAGCUACCGGGGGUUCGCAUCCACUGCUGUGAUUCGGAUCUAUGCAACAGCUCCUCCUGCUGGCGAGCAAGUGGACUACAUUACGUCUGUGCGAUACUUAGCCUGCUAUUGUUAUGGCUACGGUUAUAGGAUGCCUAAAAACAUGGACUGGACAUGACGUCAUUUAUAUGUGUAAAACACCAAGAAGCCGUUUUGUUUAAAUUUUAAGAUCACACAAAUGACAUGCAUGAGCUAUUCAAAGUGAUUUUUUUUCUCAGUAAUUAGUUUUAAUAUGAGGAAAAGCCAUUUGUUUGAUAGUGUGCAGUGAUGAAAUUCAGUGGUACAGUACCACAGCAGCUACCACCAAUUAAUUUCAAUCAUUUCAUGUAACAAUAGUCAUAGUUUGAUUCCAGAGAGUAGGAACACUCCAGAGCCUAUGACUGCACCAAAUGUAAAUAUUCUGUAUUAAAGAGUAUAUUGAUAUUCUUGACAACUUUAUUUUAUUUUGAAUGUAACAGUUGACCAUCAAUUGCACUUCAUCGUAAAGACAUACACUAUUGCAAAAGAUGCAGUACUCAGUUUUAUGGUAAACUCUUGAAUUGGUAUGGGUUCUCAUCCUCAUUUGGGCGCAUUGUUGUUUUGUAAUUGCAGUGUAAUGCUGCAGAUAUAUGACUUUGCAUGUGUGCUAUUUGUAAUGGCCUGAGUUUUAUGUCAACACAUGCCGUGCAGUGAAGUGAUAUUUCACUAAUUGUAUUAAAGGAUUUAAAAAGAUAGCAGGAUUAAGUGUUUUUGUGCCACCUUGAAUGGAUAUGGUAGAAGGCUCGAAAUACCUUUGCUUUUCUGCCGAGUCCCGUCAGACCCUCACUCUAAAGCUUAUCAGAGAAUAAACAUACAUUCACAGAUAUCA